ACUUUCCCAUUUUGUUAUGACUUUAGCUCAAUUUGAGUAAAAAACACCCAUUUGCUACUAACUUUAGCAUUAACAGUAGCAUAGACUCGAACUAUUAUUCUGGGUACAAACCGUGGUCGUGUGUUGUUUUGUUUUUCUUUCGUGGUUCACCGGUCGCGAUUUUGGUGCGAGGAAAAAGUUUGGUUUUUAAUUCCGAUUCCUUCAAAUCUGCGCAGUCGCUAUUAUUUUUCGGUUCUGGUGCGUUACGUUUACCACUGGUAAUUGAAACUGAUGGUAUAGCUGAUCCGGUCUGUUUGCAGGAGGACAACAAUUACUGUUCGAGUGGGGCGCCUUAUUACCCUUUUCUACCGGAACUUCAUUGAUUUCAAGUUGUCCGAUUCCCUGACAAGAACCGACAAAUUGGGAAGAUGGACGACGAGGAGGAGUUAUGUAUAUCAAGAGGCGGAUUGAUACAUAUUCUGGUUUUUUUUCCGGUAAGUGCAGUUAGAACAAAAGUGAGAUUUCGUCAUGUGAUAACAUAAAAUAUUAUUUUCUAGAUGUGAUAAACUACCGCUGGUUAUUAUCUAUCGAAAUCAUCACGGAACGGUAUACAGAGCAGCCUGGUAUUGGAGAAAAUGGUCCAUCUCCCGGCCCAUCACCAAGACGUUGAUGAAUGUGGGAAAGUAUUGUUCCGAUUCCCUUUUAAUCUUGGGUGAUGGUGAAGAUGUUCGGAUUUUUCCUGGGGAGAAAACUGUUUGUUUGGGGCAAAUGUUCGCUCUGAUUCCACAAGUACUGCAUCUUCAAGUUGUUAAACUCCCAGGCCAACCAGCAGUGCUGAGCCAACAUAAUGGAUAGCCAAACGACGCGGAGGAAUCAGACGGAGCGAAAAAUAUUCUAUUGAUUUUUCCUGAAAGCAGCAGCUCAUCAGAUUGCGAUGGGUAUACCAAUAAAAAAAUGAACGGUUUCCAAAGCAGUGUGGUGAUGGAAAUAAUACCGGGAAUCUGCACCUUUAUUCCAAUAUUAGAAUCAAACCUCCAACGUCGUAACGCGGAGCCACGGAUUGCUUCUAUGGGAAUGUUUACCAUAAUCUCUUCCUGGUGAUUAAAUGAGAUUUCAGUGUUGGAGAUAUUUCGAACAUCGUGCUAAUAAUAAAAGCCUCAUGGAAAAAACUUUUCAAAACCCGCAUGGAAAUUCGAAUAAAAAUAAAAAACAAGAUGAAAAAUCAAUCUCAUUUUUUAUAUCCGAAAAUGAAAAUCCUUCCAUUAAAAAUAAAUAUUUUUUUUGAUUUUACUCAUAUUUUAGCAAACAUUAGAAAAAAUAAAUUUUGCUAAAUUUUAGCAAACAAUGAUUUUUUUGCUAUGAAAUUAGUAAAAAAUUUA